rnacentral:tRNA from 1 species
GCCUGGGUGGCUCAGUCGGUUAAGCGUCCGACUUUGGCUCGGGUCACGAUCUCACGGUUCAUGGGUUCGAGCCCCGCGCCGGGCU